AACCAUUGCUCUCUCUCCUUUCAUUCUUGUUCUGCAUCUUGGUAUGCAAUUGUAAUUAUUAAGACAGAUAAUAAGAAAUUAUAUAAAUAAGCUAAAAUCAUAACACAUCUAUAGGCAGGCUUCAUCUCAUUAUUUAACAGCUCAUCAAAUCUACAAAAUUAACUUAAAAUGUCCUGCUGAUUGAGCAUAGUUGUCAUAAUAAUCAAGGCCAGUAAAUUGAUAACUAGCCCUUGCUGAAUGUUUAACCCUUCAAAAUCUAACUGGCUACUGAGAAUAGUAGAUGCCAUAGAAGCACCCCUAAUGAUGCAGCAUAUUUGAGUUUCUUGCAGCAUCACCAGGGUAAAUACUCUUUAAGAUGGAUAUUGCCAUUGGAAUAAUACUGAUAAAGGCAAGUUGCAGUUCUGAGCUACUGGUCUUGAUGGUGAUCUGUCCACUUUGCCUGUUAUUCAUUCCAACAUGGAUAGCCAUUUUUGAAUUCCGACCAAUGGAGAACUGAGAGUCUAAGUUGGCCAGUACACCCAAAUCACCUCUCCAAUUCAUCAGAGACAAGCCUAAUGUGGUUUGAUCCUGCUCUACAGGAAAAUCCUUGCUUUUGAGGCGAAUUUCAAAGUUGGCUCCAUAUGCUGUAUCACCUCCAGAUCUUACAGCCCCAGCAUUUCCCACCAAAGCCAAGCGCUUUCCAAUAGCAAUCUGGUCCUCAAUUUUCAGUCCUGUGGCCACAUUUUUGCUCAGCAAAGCAAUGGAUAUCCCAGCAGAAGUAUUGUUUAUCUUAAAAUUCUUGAAUUUGGUUUCGCUUCUGAGGAUAUAUCCAAGCUGCCUUCCAAUAGUCUGAAUGUCAAAUCCUGCCAUUGUUGAUCUAUUUUCUCCAUGCUUUACACAAAUUGAGGAAUCUAAGUGGAUAUUAAACUCUUUCUUGUCCUUUGUGAUUUGAACAGCAAAUCCACCUGGGAACUGACCAGCAAUAGCAAGAUUUCUUUCAAGACUAACACCAUCAUACCCACAGUCAUGGUCCCAGCCUUGUGAGUCCAGAACUGGUCUCACAAGAAGCUGUGAUGUAGGCUCCAACAUUCGGUACCUAUAAGAAGGACUGUCACUGUCAAAGGAAGGCGGGAGGACGAAUUCGGGUAUGGGAACUGGCACACUUGCUGGACCUCCAUCUUCCUGGUCUACAUCUUCCCCAGUGUAGUCACGAUCACUUCUACUAUCUUUGCCUUUCUUCUUGAGCUCCUUCAACUUUUUCACCCCCUCUAUCCACUGCUUCUUUUGAAGGAGUUUCACCCGAUAAUCAUACUCAUCAAAAUAUGCUUGCCUUUGCACUCUGCUAAGCUUAUUAACCUGAGAUUUCUUCAAAGGCUUGAAAGAUGGAAGUUGAUCAUACUCAUCUUCUUCAUCGGAAUCAAAUAAAUCCAUAUCUGAAUCAUCAUCAUCACCACCCUGCCCAGCAGUGAGUUUUGGAUGAGGGCGAGACUGCAAUAAAGAAGACACCAAGUGGGACAGAGGUAGGGGACGUUGCCAUAAGCCAAACAGCUUCUUGUGAUCGGAAGGAUCUAGAGGCUUGGUUAUAGAACUCGCUUCUGAUAAAAUCUUCAAUGAGUAGCACAUCAGUAGUAAUUGGGGUCUCCAACUUUGUCCAUUGGGAAGGAUACUUUCUCCACUUUUGUUCUUUUGACACGAUGGAUGAUUCUCAACGAGAGAUACUGGAUGCAUCAUACUUGGAUGCAUUAGACGCAGAUCACCAACUGCUUGGCUAAUAGCCUGCUGAACACUAUGGGAUCGUUGAGCAACAAAAACUUCAAAACCUAGGGGUGAUCCAGAUAGCCCAUCGGGAGGAGGAGCAGCUGCAUGGGUCAGAGUGACAAUGGCAUUUCGCCAUAUUGAUGCGGUGAGAGAAUUAGUAAGUGAGGCUAACAAUGGCAAAUCAUUGAGGUCUCUUGCAUGGGUGUCUAGCCGAUCAACAUAGAGGACAACAUCCGGAGGGAACUUCUCUGUCAACUUCUUUAUAGAUGCUAAUAUUUUCCUGUUGGUAGCUUCUUCCUUCACAGGGGAUCUGAGACCUGGUGUGUCAAGGAUUCUGAUCCUAACUCCAUCUAUUGUUCCAACAAUCUCUUUAACCCUAGUUGUGGCAGGUUCAAAUGCAUUGAUCAUGACUUUCUUCUCUCCAAAUAUAGAAUUAAUGGUAGCACUUUUCCCCACUCCAGUUUUCCCAAUAACAAAAAUGUUCAAACAGAAGUCUAAUUCAUCUUUGCCCUCCGCUUCAAGUUGCAUGGCCAUUCUCUUAGAAGAUUCAAGGGUAAAUUCUUGGCUAACAUGUAACCCUGCAGCUAGGACCAACCUAUGUAACACUUGUGCAACUAUUGAAUCUUCAGGAGAAAGUCCAAGUCGCUGGACAAGCCUCAAGAACUUCACCCUAAUAUGCUGUAUCUUUUCAAUCAUCUUCUUUUCUUCCACACUUGUACGAUCAUUCACGGCAUCCUUGACCAUACUCAAUUGAGAAGCCCGUUUUGUACUGUCAAAUGAGGAACCCAAACCAGCAGGGUACGCAACAGAAAAUACUUUAGAACCAGUAGAGGUUGCCGUGACACUGCCUCCAUCCAACUCAACUCCAGUUGCUGCUUUCAAAAGAGUAGCCAAUGCAGCUGAGUCAAAUAAUUUCUUUGCUUCACGCUCCUUAUCUGUCUCCAAUUUUUCAAUAAUCUGUCCAUCAAUGCUGUGUUGAUGAUCAUGGAAAUCAUCAGCCACUGGUAAAGGAGAGGAGGCUGCACUUUUCUCCAAUUCACUCAUGUUACGCUCAAUACUUCCAGAGCCUCCAAAUAUCAGUUCUUCAAUAUCUUCAUCAGACAAAAAACCUCUUUGCGUUUCUAUCUUUUCUGAAUCAUGGUUUACUUCAUCUCUGAUACCAAAAGAAUUGGUAUUGCCCUGAGACGCUACUUCUAGUCUAUCAACUCCAAACAUUUCAGGAAAAUCAACACUUUCCAGCAAAUCCACGGUCUGAAUUUCGUUCGUCUCAAAUGCAGAGUCCACAGAUUCUACUGUGAUGGCAUCUUCAGGUGCAAGAGAUUCAACCCUCAUGCCAGUUUCUCGCCCAGAUUUACCGUCUAGUUUCUCAAUGUCAUUGCCUUUCUCAAGGGCAACACUUCUAUUAAAGACACAGCUCUGAUAACCGUUAACAAAAUCUGUAGCUUUUUCUGCCUCCACUCCCAAGACUUCCACUUUCAUUUCUUGAGGCUCUGGCACAAUUUUCUGAAGAGACUCAUCAGCAGAAUUAAUUACAGUCACAGAGGAAUUAUUAGAACUGUUAACUAUUUCACUUAUCUGUACCUCUUGCAGGACAGCACCAUCAACCUUCAUUUCUCGUAUAUCUGGAACAAUAUUCUCAACCUGGUUCAACUCAGAAGUAUCACCAAAACCAUUAGUUACAUCAGAAACAUGUUCCUUUAGCUGGCUGGCACUGCAAUUCUCAGAUACAUGAUUCAUAAAAACGUUCUCCAUACUCUUUAUGUUGUGCCCAUCUCUUCCAUUCAGUUCAAUCUUUUCCUGCUCCAAAUUCCCAAGCUGCGGCCUUUCUUCAGCAAAUUGCUUAGUAUCAUCAUCCACUUGAGAAUAUUUCCCCAAGACCUCUUCUUUGCUCUCCACCAAAAACUCGAUAGGAGCCUCUGGUACAAGAACUUGACCAUCGUCCUCAACCAAUUCAACUGAAACGGGUUCAUCAGCAACAUGCUUAGCAUCUUCCUUCAUUUCUGGAUUCUCUUUAUUUUCCACCGAAGGCUCGACUUGAGCUUCCGAUGUAAACGCACGGUAAUCAUUCUUGAUCAAUUCAACCGAAGCAGAGCCAUUAGGAGAACACUUCACUGCAAAUUUACUUUCUUCAAUACCCGAAACAUCAUAGUCUGCUCCAACAAAAUUACCCGAAAUCAAAUCCUCAUUAUCUCCCACUGGUAACAACUCAAUCUCGUUCACAACAUGUGAAUCUCCUUGCACCAAUGGCUCAUCUUCUUUAUCAUAUUCAACAGCCGACACUCUGACUCUAGGUGCACUAACCAUAGCUGAAAACCUGCCAUCUCCCGUAUCACCGCUGACCAUUCCCUCAUCACUCAUCGACCCCUCAAAAUCAUCGUCAUCCACUGACAAUUGGGCAACAGGCAUAACCCGCUGCAAAUAAGGACUAUCGGAUUCGACAACGGGCCUAUAAUGAUCAGUGACACCACUCUCCUCGUCUAUAACUGAACUUCCCAAACUUUCUUCAUCUGGGUUCGGCACAAAAGCCCUAGAGAGUUUAUUUUUAUCCAAAAGGCCACUCUCUUCACGGUUUUCCUCAUCUGGGUUGCCUGCAAAAAGCUUCUCUGACCCACUUUCAAACUCCUCAACACUAACAUACUCGUCAGACUCAGACCCAUUAUCAAUAUUACUACUAGUAUCACUAUAACCAUGGUCAGUAUGACCGUUAGAUUCAAAAUCAGAAGAAUCAUCGUCAGGAGUAAUAGGAGCUCGGAUAGGAAGAGAACCUGUAGGCGAUGGCAGCAAUGAGUUGGAAAAGGAAGGGGACCCUUGUGUCUUGGAAAGUGAAACACGGGGAAUCGAGGCCAUGGCUUGGAGCUCUUGUUUUUCACGGAAACAGAGAAAACAUACAGAGUUGCCAAAGCAGAAAAAGGCCAGUAGCUUUUAGUUAGGGUUGUAAAUGAUGCUUAGUCCCAUGGCUAUGCUUGGUGUUGCACUUUUGGGCCAGUAGCAGUACUUGGGAAGGAGGGAGCCAUUCACGAGGCACGUUAAGGUUGGGAUUAACAGGUGAGUUCUCUUUUGUUUGACAAGUAGAGAUUCCGUUUUGGAGUCUUCUGGGAGAUGUGGACACACAAAGGUUUUGUCUCUUGUGAUUAUCCCAUCCACACGGACCACAGCCUCCAGGCAAUUCAGCUCCUAGCCUUUCGUGUGUGGUCUCAAAC
rnacentral:misc_RNA from 1 species